GUCGGUCUACCCGGAUGGCACUACCUGAUGGCACUACCCUGAUGAUGUCUGUUAGCCAUGGCUGCUGCCCUCAACAUGGUGAGCCAUCCAGAAGUCCCAGCCUGGAGCCAGAGGCUGCUAUUGCAAGUCAGAUGGGAGAUGGCCUACAGUAUGUUAGGCAUCAGAAAAGUGGUGUUCGCAUGAAGGCAGAGUUGCCGCAGGCAAUUAUGAGAUUAGACACUUGACAUUUACUGCGAAAGGUACCAUCAGAGCACCUCUCCCUACCCUGCAGGAUACCUAUACCAGAAGAGUACAACAACGGCCCAAAAGUAUUUCAAAAGACAUUUCACGCUCUGACCACGGACUGUUUAAACCACUGAGGUCAAGCAGACGUCUCUGUUCCCACGUGGCAGACUGAGGGAACACCCACAAAACAGACUGGGGAUGAGUUUCUUUACUCCGCAUCCUGUACACACACAACUCCUUAUACUACAUUACAUAGACUUGCCAGUUGCCAUACUGCACUU